rnacentral:rRNA from 1 species
AUACGUAGGUGACAAGCGUUAUCCGGAUUUACUGGGCGUAAAGGGCGUGUAGGCGGUCUUGCAAGUCAGAAGUGAAAUUCCUGAGCUCAACUCGGGCGCUGCCUCUGAAACUGCAGGACUUGAGUGCUGGAGGGGAUAGCGGAAUUCCUAGUGGAGCGGUAAAAUGCGCAGAUAUUAGGAAGAACACCGGUGGCGAAGGCGGCUAUCUGGACAGUAACUGACGCUGAGGCGCGAAAGCGUGGGGAGCAAACAGGAUUAGAUACCCUGGUAGUCCACGCUGUAAACGAUGAAUACUAGGUGUAGGGGGUAUCGACUCCCUCUGUGCCGCAGUUAACACAAUAAGUAUUCCGCCUGGGGAGUACGGCCGCAAGGUUGAAACUCAAAUGAAUUGGCGGGG